AAUCAACCUGCAUAACACAAAUUAACAUAUUGCUGUUCCUUCACGUUUAGUUUCCAUAAAUACUUCCGCAUUAAUGCUGUCACAGCUGUUUUGAGGCCAAAAGCCUUCAACAGAACAGUGACUCUGCAGUUUGAUGGAAUGAAACACAUCCAAGGUGAUAAGUAGAAGCAGCGAUGAACUAAUUACAUAAGGGGAGGGCUCUGUAUCUCAUUUCCUAAUUUGUGAAAGAAGCAGAAAUAUACAACUGGCCCAUAGCACUGAGAAGAGAUGCUAAAUGGCAUGAUUAAUUUGAAAAAAAAUAAUGUGGAAUUGCAGAGAAGCAACAUCCACCUCUCUGUAUUUGUCUGUCAGUUUUCCCUAAAUUCUUAAGGAAAAACAAAGAAAGAAGUUUUGGGAAGAUGGGGAAGAAAGGGACGAUAGAGUGUCUCAGUUACUGAAGCAUAAACAACUAUGCUAACUGCAAUGAUCCUUCCACCAGAAAAAUGUAUACAGCGGUGAAGAUCUGUAAAUUAAUCAUAGGAUCUUGACAAAUCCACAACUUUACAUUCAUUAUGCAAGUGAAUUUCAAAGUUGAAUUAUUCCUUGUAUUUCACCCAUUAAUCUUUGGAACCCUAUGAUAUGAAUAGAACAUGGACAGACCUGCAUGGAGCUGGCACUGUAUGUUGAUGCCUCCUUUGAAAUAAAUAAUGAACUUUUUUUGGCA